rnacentral:rRNA from 1 species
GGCGGCAGGCCUAACACAUGCAAGUCGAGCGCCGUAGCAAUACGGAGCGGCAGACGGGUGAGUAACGCGUGGGAACGUGCCCUUCGGUUCGGAAUAACUCAGGGAAACUUGAGCUAAUACCGGAUACGUCCGAAAGGAGAAAGAUUUAUCGCCGAAGGAUCGGCCCGCGUAAGAUUAGCUAGUUGGUGAGGUAACGGCUCACCAAGGCUCUGAUCUUUAGCUGGUCUGAGAGGACGAUCAGCCACACUGGGACUGAGACACGGCCCAGACUCCUACGGGAGGCAGCAGUGGGGAAUAUUGGACAAUGGGCGCAAGCCUGAUCCAGCCAUGCCGCGUGAGUGAUGAAGGCCUUAGGGUUGUAAAGCUCUUUUGGCAGGGACGAUAAUGACUGUACCUGCAGAAUAAGCCCCGGCCAACUUCGUGCCAGCAGCCGCGGUAAUACNAAGGGGGCUAGCGUUGCUCGGAAUCACUGGGCGUAAAGCGCACGUAGGCGGGUCGUUAAGUCGGGGGUGAAAUCCUGGAGCUCAACUCCAGAACUGCCUUC